AUACAUGCAGUCGAGGGGCAGCAUGAAGUAGCAAUACUUUGAUGGCGACCGGCAAACGGGUGCGGAACACGUACACAACCUUCCUUUUAGUGGGGAAUAGCCCAGAGAAAUUUGGAUUAAUACCCCGUAAUAUAACGAUGUGGCAUCACAUUGUUAUUAUAGCUUCGGCGCUAGAUGAUGGGUGUGCGUAUGAUUAGAUAGUUGGCGAGGUAACGGCUCACCAAGUCUACGAUCAUUAGCUGAUGUGAGAGCAUGAUCAGCCACACGGGCACUGAGACACGGGCCCGACUCCUACGGGAGGCAGCAGUAAGGAAUAUUGGUCAAUGGACGCAAGUCUGAACCAGCUAUGCCGCGUGAAGGAUUAAGGUCCUCUGGAUUGUAAACUUCUUUUAUCUGGGACGAAAAAAGGUUUUUCUAAGCCUCUUGACGGUACCAGAUGAAUAAGCACCGGCUAACUCCGUGCCAGCAGCCGCGGUAAUACGGAGGGUGCAAGCGUUAUCCGGAUUCACUGGGUUUAAAGGGUGCGUAGGCGGGCAGGUAAGUCAGUGGUGAAAUCCUGGAGCUCAACUCCAGAACUGCCAUUGAUACUAUCUGUCUUGAAUAUUGUGGAGGUAAGCGGAAUAUGUCAUGUAGCGGUGAAAUGCUUAGAUAUGACAUAGAACACCCAUUGCGAAGGCAGCUUACUACGCAUAUAUUGACGCUGAGGCACGAAAGCGUGGGGAUCAAACAGGAUUAGAUACCCUGGUAGUCCACGCCCUAAACGAUGGAUACUCGACAUACGCGAUACACUGUGUGUGUCUGAGCGAAAGCAUUAAGUAUCCCACC
rnacentral:rRNA from 1 species